rnacentral:tRNA from 1 species
GCCGGCGUAGCUCAGUCUGGCAGAGCAAGCGGCUCAUACCCGCUGCGUCACUGGUUCAAAUCCAGUCGCCGGUACCA